GUGCUGGCUUCGGCAGCACAUGUACUAAACAUAGAAGGAUACAGAGAAGGUAAGCAUGGCCCCUGCACAAGGAUGACAUGCAAAUUUGUAAAGUGCUCCAUAUUUUU
rnacentral:snRNA from 1 species